rnacentral:misc_RNA from 1 species
UAGGAGCAGGUGCAGGUAUCUCUUCUUUCUCUAUGAGUUGCUUCAGCUCUUCUAUAUAUUCAAGGUCUUUCAUGCUUGGUUUUGAAAAGGUACCAGCAGGAAAACAAGUUUCUGACACCCAUUGUUGCCCACCACAAUCAAAGCCGAGGAUUUCAUCACUCCAUCCCACUCUAUAUCCUUCUGACUUCCUCCAGAAUUCAGCCUCAGCGUGAUUAACCUUUAUGACAUGGUCUUUGUUAAGAGGAUCAAGAGCAAGCAGUUUAUCUCUUAACUCUGUAAAUGAAAGCUCAUUUUCGUCUGUUUCAUCAUCAUCAACAGAUUUAGCUGCAUUUACUCCAGUCCUGUACUUCUUGAGGGACUCCUUGUAAAGGUCACGAACAUGCUGUAUAGCCUCAUCUUUGCUAUAUUUUGGUUUGAAUUUGGGUGGACCCCUCCAUUUGGAAACAGGGUUGCAUGUCACAACCACAACACUGUCAGUGUAUGGGAUAUAUAGGUAUUUCACAUGCUUAUUCUCAGAUAGCAAUUUCUUGUGGUUUUUCUUGAUUUCCUUCAUGUUCAAGAUGAACGUAUGCUCCACAAGCUCUUGCCUAUCAACACAUUGUAAGGUGACUUCAGCAACCACUCCAAGGCCCCCAAGACCAACGCGAGCUAGAUAAAAGAGCUCUGGAUCUUUCUCUUUUGAAAUCUCUAUUGUUCCUUUGGAAGGAGUGACUAGUUUCAUGCUAAUUACCUGCUCAUCAAUAGGUGGCAAUCUUGCACCAGUACCAUGUGCACCAACCUGAACAAUGCCACCAAUUUGCUGUUCUCUAAUGGACGCAAAAUUUUGUAAAGU